UUUAACCGUCACUGUGGUAUCUCUCCCAGAGUCUCACUCCUUUUUCUUUAUUGUACUUUUUCAAAAUCCUAUUCACAAACCCAUUCACGCUACAGUCAUGGAGAUGAGAAGAGAAGAGAUGAAAAAGUAGCAACCAGUCGCCGUUCGAGUUCACCGUCGUGGUUCGAGUCCGCCGUUCACUGUUCGCGCAUCGCGGUUCGAUUUCGUCGUUCGCCGUUCACCUUGGUUCGCGUUCGUUGUUCCCUGUUCUCCCAUCGCGGUUUCAGUUUGCCGUUCGCCGUUCACCGUCACAGUUCGAGUUCAUUGUUCCCUGUUCGCCCAUCGCGGUUCGAGUUUGCCGUUCGCCGUUCAUCACCGUUGCGGUUCGAGUUCGCCGUCUCCGUCUCCCACACUGUCCUUUCUCUCGCCCUCUUUUUGUCAGUGCAAACCCUAAUCCCGUCUUUUCGAUAACCAUUUCGUCUCGUUCAACCACAAUAUUCAACAUGUUCGAAGAAAUGCUUCAACCAAAUUUGUUUGACUUUGUUUCUUUGCAUUCUAUUUUGCUACAAUUUGUCAUAAUGAUUGUAUUCUCAUGUUUUUUCUGUGAAUUUCAUAGUCUACAUCAGAUAAUGGAAGAGUCUAAAGUGAAAAUUCAACCGCACAUAAUUUCAUUUUACACCUUAUUGUUGAUGCAAGAAGUAUUUGGUUAUAGUUGCUUGUGAAGAUUAAUAUCUUACAUCAGUAAAUUCUAGACAACAGGGAAGCUAUGGUCUUCUUUAUUUACUGAGCCUCUAAUAAUGCACAUAUGCUGAGACAAAUGUAUGAAUAAAUAUUCUUCUGUUUGUUUUAAAUGGAUCUUGUAUUCUUAUAUUUUCUUGUAUUUUCGUGUUAUUUCUUUCCGUGGAAUUAUGGCUAGUGUUAUUUACAAUUAACUAACUGUUUAUGAUCUCUUUUCUUUUCUUUUUUUAGGUUAAGAACUUACUGUGUGACUGAGCCUUAUAUAGGUUGUCACACCCUCAUUGUUUAAUCUUCUUUUCACUGAUGCGAAUUUUAGAUGAGAGCUUGCACUUCUCUUCUUUCUUUUUUUUUUCUUUUGACUUUAUGUUUUUAUGUUUUUUGCAAGAUGAAGACAGACUUAAAUGGAUUGAAGGGAAAGAAACAGUAACCUCAAGGCUGAGGAGCCACUUCUUCAAUGCAGAGAGACCGGCAGUGGCAAGACAUUCACCAUGAAUGGUUCGAAAAAUGACCCAAGAAUAAUUCCUUAGGCUGUCAAAAGAUAUAUUUGCAAAAUUGAGAUGGUAGCUUCUGCUAAAAGUCUUGUUUAGAGUUUGUGUUUGUAGUUGUUCAUGUUGUUAUUUUGAUGUUUAGUUUGGUUCGACCAAUUUAUUUUUAGAUGUCUGAUUGUGAGCUUCUGAUUCGAGUGUCCUACAUGGAGAUCUAUAAUGAAGAAAUUAAUGACCUAGUUGUUGAAAAUCAGAAAUUGCAACUUGCUUUGUUUCUUUCUUUGCUGAAUAAUUAAUUGGUAAGACAUACAUGAUGCACUUUUAUUUUUAAAGACUAUUCAGUUUGAGACACAUUAGCACUUGACAUCAAUAUACUUGGUCUUCAUCCUUUCUUACAGCCAAUUAUGGUAGUGUGAAUGUCUUGGGCCCUUGGCUGUUAAUUCUAGAAUGAAUGGAGCAUGAAAGAUCCUCUAAUUCUACAAUUUAAAAUGAAUGUCUACAAUUUAAAAUGUGCAUCACUAGAUUGUAUAGCCAAUGGAGUGUUAUCACCUUAAUACAAUUUAGAAAAGUGAAAUUUUAGAUUAGGGAUCAUUGAUUAAUGCAUAUAUUUGUGCCAUGUUUUCUCCGGGCUGGCUUACAGGGAAUGGGCAGACAAGGCAAAAAUAAACUUUUAACUCUAGGGAUCAUUGGUUAAUGCAUAUAUAAUUGGUUAAUGUAUUUGAUUGUUCGAGCUUUUUGCAAAGUUUUCUUGCGAGAAGUACCACCAGCACAUUACCCACUAUAUCUAAAACCAAUUUUUUAUGAUUUAUUUUUUAUAUAAACCUUUUAUUAAUUGGGUGUAUAAGGGCGAUUCAUUUUCUUCAAUUUUAACUAAUCAUUUUUUAUCUAGGGUGGAAUUUUGUUAUGUUAUUAGGAACAUUCAAUUUUUUGGCUGAGUCUCAGCAAAAAGUGAGUGCAUCAUAUGUUGUGGUCAUUGGUCUUGGAGGGGUUGGCAAUCAUGCUGCAUCUAUACAGACUUCUAUUUUUUUUUGAAUAUCUAAAGUUGAAAAUCACCAAAGCCUAUGCCAAUAAAAUUCCAUCUCUCUGCUGUUCUGAUUUAAUUCUUUGGAUUGCUUGCUUCUAUUUUCUUUAUUUUAAGUGUGAAUCUAUAUAUGAUUGUUAUUCUUUGUUUUAAGUAAUAUGAUUUUCUCAUAUUUCUUGUAUGUUCUUACAAGUAUGAAGAGAAGAAGGCUAAUAAAGAAGUAUUAAAGUCCUAAAAAAUCUCUCAAAGAUGCUAAAAAUGCUAUAUUAGUAUCAUCCCCUAAUGCCUCAAUUUUCAAUUUCAUCCGAUUCAUAAAGUGUCAUCCCCUAAUAUUGUUUUCUCUUUUUUUAUAUAUAUUAUUACAGGUAUUAAAAGAAGGCUUGUACAAUUCGAAGAGGAAAAAAAAUGAACAUGUUGAACCAAAUGUUGUAUUUGCUAGAGAAACUGUUAAUCUCUCAAAUGAUGAAAAUGGUAAAAGGAAUAGAUAAUCAGAUACUAUUAUGUCCUAAAUCAAUAUUAUACUAUUGUCCAAAUUGGGGUACCUGUAAUACCCAGGAAGGGAGGGAUAUGAUUUGUAUGAUUUGGAACUCACUGCUGUGAAGGACAACACUGAGUUGCGAAAACUGUUGAUUGAGACAUUAAGCAAGUCCAUUAUUGUGAUUGAGGUCAGAUGAGGAAGAAAGUUGAAAGAGUGAAGGAAGAUGAAGAAGAAAAAGGUCAAAGUAACAAUUGUUAGGUUUACAUGUUUAGAUUAAGUUGGAAUUUUUCGAAUUUACAUAUGGAUUAUGAUUAUGUAAUUAAAAUUUGUAGAAUUAAACUUUUGAAAUACAUUGUUGUUAUUUUUGUAAAAUUUG